CACAGCAGAGGUUUCUCUUUUUUGGAAGAUCAACAGCCCUGCUAAGGCACUCCUGGAGAAGGCAGAGUGACAGCCUCCAUUCCCUCCUUGAACCCCAUCACCUUCCUCUUGGAAUGAACAAGAAUGAACAACUUCCUGCAGAAGCUGGCAGUCCGUGGCUUGGACAGAUAAACUCUUGGCUGGGCUGUAUUUGCUGACUUUUUAGGCAACCAUUUGUUCCAGAGGAGCUCACUUUAUUACUUUAUUUCCCUUUGGCAAGAUAAUAAUUAUCUGAAAUGGAAAUAACUGAAUUCCUUUGGUGAAGUGCCAAUGAAAACUAUACCCAGACUUCCAGAAGAACUGAAUACGAUGAAACCCAUUGACUUCUAGUGGACUCGUGGUAUUUGUAAGCACGCUGUGGCAAAGCACCACAAUGUUUCAGGAGGCUUGAGAGGUGCACUUCUAACAUCUCCUUGAUCAGGCAGAGCCCAUGUGCCUCAUUCUACAGACAACAUUUGCCUGCUGGUCCACUAUUUUACACUGUGAAUCAAAUGGGUUUAUAAGCAGGAAGGAAAGGAAGGGAGGGAAAUUAAUUUGAUUCUCCUAAUGUCUGUGAAUUAAGAACUCCAGCUGUGGAAAACUAAUGCAAUGAGCGGUCCUGCCAACAUCAGCUGCCAUGGAAGUGCCUGCUUCCAAGGAUUUGUUUGGAUUUUGGUGAACACACUCUGGACCAAAGAUAGCUUGUUAAUUCUUGUUCAUAAUGAAUUAGAUAAAAAAUACAAAUCCUCAUGGUACAACAUAUUUACGGACCAUAUUUCUGCCAGCUUUGCUGUCUGAUUUUUCAUUAGAAAAAUUCAUUAAUUUUUUUGAAUCUAGGAAACUAACUCUAUCGAAAAGUUCAAGAAUAAACGAUAUGAAUAAAAAAGUGACUUCUGUUAAAAGUAUGACUGAUGAAAACAUGCAACUGAGAAAGCAGCACCAGCCCCAAGCAAAGGAAUCAGGAUAUGCUUCUUUUUUUUUCCUUUGAAAGAUAUCAAAACUAAAGUGCGGGAUAUAUAAUAUUAUCUUUUCAUAAGUCCUGUCUUCUUUUCAAAAUUGAUUUGGAAAACCUGCCAGCAACAGAAAAGAUCAAGAGCCAAGAGAGAAGCAAUGCUUUAUGGAUCGGCUGCUAUACUCCUGUGGCUUCAGAAGUGUAAAGGCUUCAAUAUUUUUGACUAGCUGGGAAAAUAACACUAUUAAUUCUUCUAAUAAUUACAGAAAAGUCACAUUAAUUUUUUUAAUGAACAUUGCCCAUUACAGUGCAAGGAUAUUAUAUUGAUUAAGCACACUACCAAAUUUUAGAUCCCUGACAUUAGAAUAACUGUAAACAAGCUUGCCAGUAUCAAAAAAUAUGGGAGAAAGGAAACAAAAAAAGGGAAAGAUUUUAGCAAUGGCAUAGGAUGGCUGGUCCUUUGUCAUGAGGUGCUAUGGAUUGUUUGCCAGUCCACUGUCAUUAGAUGCUGUUGGGUAUAGCAGUUGGAUUCAUGACCUUUCUGCAUUUUCAGCUGAAUGUCAGCACUACAAGAAUAAACAGCAAGACCAAUUGCACAAAGAUUUUUGUGCUACUCCUCUAACACAAAGCUGACCCAUUCAGACUAAAUGAAAUCCUGACUGUAUUAAAGGC
ensembl:lncRNA